rnacentral:rRNA from 1 species
GACGAACGCUGGCGGCGUGCUUAAUACAUGCAAGUCGAACGAAGUGGCGAACGGGUGAGUAACGCGUAAUCAACCUGCCCUUCAGAGGGGGACAACAGUUGGAAACGACUGCUAAUACCGCAUACUGAAGGUGGGGAUUGCGUCUGAUUAGCAAGUUGGAGGGGUAAAGGCCCACCAAGGCGAUGAUCAGUAGCCGGGCUGAGAGGAUGAACGGCCACAAUUGGACUGGGACACGGCCCAGACGCCUACGGGAGGCAGCAGUGGGGAAUCUUCCGCAAUGGACGAAAGUCUGACGGAGCAACGCCGCGUGAGUGAUGACGGCCUUCGGGUUGUAAAGCUCUGUUAAUCGGGACGCGGUACCGGAAUAGAAAGCCACGGCUAACUACGUGCCAGCAGCCGCGGUAAUAC